rnacentral:rRNA from 1 species
UGAGCAAUCUGCCCUUCUCAUCGGAAUAAGCGUUGGAAACGACGUCUAAUGCCGAAUACGACCUCCUUUCGCAUGAUCGGAGGUGGAAAGCUCCGGCGGAGAAGGAUGAGCUCGCGGCCUAUCAGCUUGUUGGUGAGGUAACGGCUCACCAAGGCUUCGACGGGUAGCCGGCCUGAGAGGGCGACCGGCCACACUGGGACUGAGAUACCGGCCCAGACCUCCGUACGGGAGCA